rnacentral:rRNA from 1 species
CUUAGGAUGAACGCUAGCUACAGGCGUUAACACAUGCAAGUCGAGGGGCAGCAUUGGGAUAGCUGCAUUCAGAUGGCGACCGGCGCACGGGUGAGUAACGCGUAUCCAACCUUCCUGGCCAGUAGGGAACAGCCCGGCGAAAGUCGGAUUAAUGCCCUAUGUUCUUCAAUGCGGACAUCUAAGUUGAAGGAAAGAUUCAUCGCUGGCAGAUGGGGAUGCGUCCGAUUAGGCUUGCCGGCGGGGUAACGGCCACCGGGGCGACGAUCGGUAGGGGUUCUGAGAGGAAGGUCCCCCACACUGGUACUGAGACACGGACCAGACUCCUACGGGAGGCAGCAGUGAGGAAUAUUGGUCAAUGGGCGUAAGCCUGAACCAGCCAAGUAGCGUGCAGGAAUGACGGCCCUACGGGUUGUAAACUGCUUUUAUGCGGGGAUAAAGUGCGGCACGUGUGCCGCUUUGCAGGUACCGCAUGAAUAAGGACCGGCUAAUUCCGUGCCAGCAGCGGC